AUGGCUGUCGUCAGCUCGUGCCGUGAGAUGUUGGGUUAAGUCCCGCAACGAGCGCAACCCUUGUCCUAUGUUGCCAGCGGGUAAUGCCGGGGACUCGUAGGAGACUGCCGGGGUCAACUCGGAGGAAGGUGGGGAUGACGUCAAGUCAUCAUGCCCCUUACGUCCAGGGCUGCACACAUGCUACAAUGGCCGGUACAAAGGGCUGCUAUCCCGCGAGGGUGAGCGAAUCCCAAAAAGCCGGUCUCAGUUCGGAUCGUAGUCUGCAACUCGACUACGUGAAGUCGGAGUCGCUAGUAAUCCCGGAUCAGCAACGCCGGGGUGAAUACGUUCCCGGGCCUUGUACACACCGCCCGUCACACCACGAAAGUCGGUAACACCCGAAGCCAGUGGCCCAACCGCAAGGAGGGAGCUGUCGAAGGUGGGAUCGGUGAUUGGGGUGAAGUCGUAACAAGGUAGCCGUACCGGAAGGUGCGGCUGGAUCACCUCCUUUCUAAGGAGUACCUGCUCAGGCAUCUUGUCUCUUUUUGAGGCGACCUGUCUGAGAACUCCCAGUUGAUCACUAGCCAGUUGGCAUCCUGUCCGUCAGGUCAUGGUCGAAGAUUUCGGUCUCCCAUGGCACGUCGGCGAGAUGCCUAAGCAAUCCUCUGUUCCGUUUUCUGGGGGCGCCGCAGCGCGGCGUCCCCGGCGUGUCGUGGGCCCUUUGUGUGCCCGGCGCCCCUUGAGAACUCCAUAGCGAGCACGAGCAUCUUUGUUUACCAAGCUACAAAGAGCCAACGGUGGAUGCCUUGGCGCCUGAAGCCGAUGAAGGACGUGGGUGGCUGCGAUAAGCUCGGGUGAGGUGCUGACCAACCUUUGACCCCGAGAUCUCCGAAUGGGGAAACC
rnacentral:sRNA from 1 species